AUGCACGCUGGCGGCGUGCCUAAUACAUGCCAGUCGAGCGAACAGACGAGGAGCUUGCUCCUCUGACGUUAGCGGCGGACGGGUGAGUAACACGUGGAUAACCUACCUAUAAGACUGGGAUAACUUCGGGAAACCGGAGCUAAUACCGGAUAAUAUAUUGAACCGCAUGGUUCAAUAGUGAAAGACGGUUUUGCUCUCACUUAUAGAUGGAUCCGCGCCGCAUUAGCUAGUUGGUAAGGUAACGGCUUACCAAGGCAACGAUGCGUAGCCGACCUGAGAGGGUGAUCGGCCACACUGGAACUGAGACACGGUCCAGACUCCUACGGGAGGCAGCAGUAGGGAAUCUUCCGCAAUGGGCGAAAGCCUGACGGAGCAACGCCGCGUGAGUGAUGAAGGUCUUCGGAUCGUAAAACUCUGUUAUUAGGGAAGAACAAAUGUGUAAGUAACUAUGCACGUCUUGACGGUACCUAAUCAGAAAGCCACGGCUAACUACGUG
rnacentral:rRNA from 1 species